rnacentral:rRNA from 1 species
AUGUGGACGGACUCGAGCACCCAUCUAUCGCUUCUCCACUGUAAUCAGUGCUCGCUAAACGCAGCCAUGCGAGGUGCCAGCUUCUGUGCUUGCUUCUUCUCCGCCUUGCUACUUCUGCAUUUUUGCUAUCUGACAGCAAUGCCUUUCGGUGAUAGAGCAUCAAGAGAGGAGAUGCUCGUUACAAGGAAGCUUCUGCAAAGCAAUGUGCUCGCAAGGUCGGAGCAUCAACAGGCCUUCCAUGCAGCAGCAGAAGGAAGCGACAAGCAGACGCCGGGCACCAAGUCCAAUCCCAUACAGAAUUAG